rnacentral:rRNA from 1 species
AUUGAACGCUGGCGGCAGGCCUAACACAUGCAAGUCGAACGAGUGGCGGACGGGUGAGUAAUGUCUGGGAAACUGCCGGCUGGAGGGGGAUAACUACUGGAAACGGUAGCUAAUACCGCAUACCAUCCGAUGUUCCCAGAUGGGAGUAGCUGGUGGUGGGGGUAAAGGCUGACCAAGGAGACGAUCCCUAGCUGGUCUGAGAGGAUUACCAGCCACACUGGAACUGAGACAGUGUCCAGACUCCAACGGGAGGCAGCAGUGGGGAAGAUUGCACAAUGGGCGCAAGCCUGAUGCAGCCAUGCCGCUUGUAUGAAGAAGUCCUUCGGGUUGUAAAGUACUUUCAGCGGGGAGGCGUUACCCGCAGAAGAAGCACCGGCUAACUCCGUGCCAGCAGCCGCGGUAAUAC